GAUGGAACGCCGAGUGAGCCUUAGACUCAAUAGAGUACAUGCGAGUCGUACGCACUGAGCCCAACUGAUUGAUGGUGCUUGCACCUGAUUGACGAUGGAUCACCACUGAGUGGCGGACGGGUGAGUAACACGUAGGUAACCUGCCCCAGAGCGGGGGAUAACAUUUGGAAACAGAUGCUAAUACCGCAUAACAACAAAAGCCACAUGGCUUUUGUUUGAAAGAUGGCUUUGGCUAUCACUCUGGGAUGGACCUGCAGUGCAUUAGCUAGUUGGUAAGGUAAUGGCUUACCAAGGCGAUGAUGCAUAGCCGAGUUGAGAGACUGAUCGGCCACAAUGGAACUGAUACACGGUCCAUACUCCUACGGGAGGCAGCAGUAGGGAAUCUUACACAAUGGGCGCAAGCCUGAUGGAGCAACACCGCGUGAGUGAAGAAGGGUUUCGGCUCGUAAAGCUCUGUUGUUGGAGAAGAACGUGCGUGAGAGUAACUGUUCACGCUUUGACGGUAUCCAACCAUAAAGUCACGGCUAACUAC
rnacentral:rRNA from 1 species